AGAGUUUGAUCCUGGCUCAGAGCGAACGCUGGCGGCGUGCUUAACACAUGCAAGUCGAACGCGCAGCAUUCUGUAGCAAUACAGGGUGUGGGCGCGUGGCGAACGGGUGCGUAACACGUGGAUAACCUUCCUUCAGGUGGGGAAUAACCCAGUGAAAACUGGGCUAAUACCGCAUAACAUGACGAUGGCACAUGCUGUUGUCUUCAAAGGCGCAAGUCGCCAGAAGAGGGAUCCGCGGCCGAUUAGCUUGUUGGCGAGGUAAUGGCUCACCAAGGCAAUGAUCGGUAGCCGGACUGAGAGGUUGGCCGGCCACACUGGAACUGAGACACGGUCCAGACUCCUACGGGAGGCAGCAGUGGGGAAUCUUGCACAAUGGACGAAAGUCUGAUGCAGCAACGCCGCGUGGGGGAUGAAGCUUCUCGGAGUGUAAACCCCUUUCGACCCGGAAGAAUGCCCGCAAGGGUUUGACGGUACGGGUAUAAGAAGCCCCGGCUAACUACGUGCCAGCAGCCGCGGUAAUACGUAGGGGGCCAGCGUUGCUCGGAAUUACUGGGCGUAAAGGGUCUGUAGGCGGUGCGGCAAGUCGAUAGUGAAAUCCCUAGGCUUAACCUAGGGGCUGCUAGCGAAACUGCCGUGCUAGAGUGUGAGAGAGGCGAGUGGAAUUACGGGUGUAGCGGUGAAAUGCGUAGAUAUCCGUAGGAACAUCCGAGGCGAAAGCGGCUCGCUGGAUCACAACUGACGCUGAGAGACGAAAGUUAGGGGAGCAAACAGGAUUAGAUACCCUGGUAGUCCUAGCCCUAAACCAUCAGGACUUGGGGUUUGCCCUGUACG
rnacentral:rRNA from 1 species